UGCCCACUGAUUUAAUAAUUAAAGGGCUGCAGUAUUUUGACUGUACAAAGGUAGCAUAAUCAUUAGUCAUUUAAUUGAUGACUUGUAUGAAAGAUUGGAUGAAAUAUAAGCUGUCUUUUAAUUAAAUUAUAGAAUUUAAUUUUUUAAUUAAAAAGUUAAAAUAAUUUAAAAAGACGAGAAGACCCUAUAGAGUUUUAUUUAAUUUAAAAUUAAGAUUUUAUAUAAAUUUAAUAAUUUAAAUUUAGGAUUAAAUUUUGUUGGGGUGAUAGAAAAAUUAAAAUAACUUUUUUUGUUUGUUUAACAUAGAUAAGUGAUUAAAUGAUCCAAUAAUAUUGAUUAUAAGAAAAAAUUACCUUAGGGAUAACAGCGUAAUUUUUUUUUUUAGUUCACAUAAGAAAAAGAGUUUGCGACCUCGAUGUUGGAUUAAGAUAAAAUUUAAAUGCAGAAGUUUAAAAUUUUUNA
rnacentral:rRNA from 1 species